rnacentral:rRNA from 2 species
GGUAAAUCCCCCCGGGCCUACCGCUUGCCAGUCGAGCGGUAGAGAGGUGCUUGCACCUCUUGAGAGCGGCGGACGGGUGAGUAAUGCCUAGGAAUCUGCCUGAUAGUGGGGGAUAACGCUCGGAAACGGACGCUAAUACCGCAUACGUCCUACGGGAGAAAGCAGGGGACCUUCGGGCCUUGCGCUAUCAGAUGAGCCUAGGUCGGAUUAGCUAGUUGGUGAGGUAAUGGCUCACCAAGGCGACGAUCCGUAACUGGUCUGAGAGGAUGAUCAGUCACACUGGAACUGAGACACGGUCCAGACUCCUACGGGAGGCAGCAGUGGGGAAUAUUGGACAAUGGGCGAAAGCCUGAUCCAGCCAUGCCGCGUGUGUGAAGAAGGUCUUCGGAUUGUAAAGCACUUUAAGUUGGGAGGAAGGGCAUUAACCUAAUACGUUAGUGUUUUGACGUUACCGACAGAAUAAGCACCGGCUAACUCUGUGCCACCAGCCGCGGUAAUACAGAGGGUGCAAGCGUUAAUCGGAAUUACUGGGCGUAAAGCGCGCGUAGGUGGUUCGUUAAGUUGGAUGUGAAAGCCCCGGGCUCAACCUGGGAACUGCAUUCAAAACUGUCGAGCUAGAGUAUGGUAGAGGGUGGUGGAAUUUCCUGUGUAGCGGUGAAAUGCGUAGAUAUAGGAAGGAACACCAGUGGCGAAGGCGACCCCCCUGGACUGAUACUGACCCUGAGGUGCGAAAGCGUGGGGAGCAAACACGAUUAUAUACCCUGAUAGUCCACGCCGCCACGAUGUCAACUACCCGUUGGGAGCCUUGAGCUCUUAGUGGCCCACCUAACGAUUAGUUGACCGCCCUGGGAGUACGGCCGCAGGGCUAAAACUCAAAUGAAUUGACGGGGGCUCGCACAAGCGUGGGAGCAUGUGGCUAUUUCAAAUAACGCCCAUAACCUUACCAGUCUUGACAUCCAAUGAACUUCAGAGAUGGAUUGGCGCCUCCGGAAUCUUGACACAGUGCUGCACGGUCC